GCCACGGUAGUGCAGUGGUUAGAUGAAUCUCCCCGGUAGGGAUGAAACGCAGGUUCAACUCCUGCCCGCAUGACA